rnacentral:rRNA from 1 species
CCUACGGGAGGCAGCAGUGAGGAAUAUUGGUCAAUGGACGAGAGUCUGAACCAGCCAAGUAGCGUGAAGGAUGACUGACCUAUGGGUUGUAAACUUCUUUUAUAUGGGAAUAAAAUGUUCCACGUGUGGGAUUUUGUAUGUACCAUAUGAAUAAGGAUCGGCUAACUCCGUGCCAGCAGCCGCGGUAAUACGGCGGAUCCGAGCGUUAUCCGGAUUUAUUGGGUUUAAAGGGAGCGUAGGUGGAUUGUUAAGUCAGUUGUGAAAGUUUGCGGCUCAACCGUAAAAUUGCAGUUGAAACUGGCAGUCUUGAGUACAGUAGAGGUGGGCGGAAUUCGUGGUGGAGCGGUGAAAUGCUUAGAUAUCACGAAGAACUCCGAUUGCGAAGGCAGUUCACUGGACUGCAACUGACACUGAGGCUCGAAAGUGUGGGUAUCAAACAGGAUUAGAUACCCGGGUAGUC